GCGCGCCCCUAACCCGGACGGGCCCCGUUCCGCUGCGGCCCCGCCGCCCGCCCCGAGCGCCGCCCGCCCGGGAGAACUUCUCUGGGCGCGGGCCCGGGAGCGUGUCAAGUUGAGGCGGCAGCUCGCCGUGGGCUCGCGAAGGCCAUUGUUGGGACUCCGCUCUGCGGGAAACAAGUUCUGUGGGUUUCUGCGCUUUCGCCGCAGAGCCGUCGGCCUACGCAGAACCCGGCGCGGAGUAUUGAAGUAGCCUUCCGAGCGUUUUUUAAGUCCGGUGUUGUGACUCGGAUGUCGACCUGGUCGCGAACGCCUCCCUGCGAAGAUGAGCGAGGGGGGUGGUCCUUCGAGAGGCUGGAGGAGAGCUUCUGUUUUGCUUCCACAUCCUACUUUACUCCGGCUAAUCUGCUAAUGCAGUGAAUUGGAAGACAACUGUUACCAGGAUAACCUGUAAUGGGCAAGGAGCCACAGAGAAGAAAACAUUUCUUUUAAUUUUUAAACUUGGUUGAAAGACCAGCAUGUUUUGGAAAUUUGAUCUUCAUUCAUCAUCCCACAUAGACACACUUCUAGAAAGAGAAGAUGUAACACUGAAGGAGUUAAUGGAUGAGGAAGAUGUUUUACAGGAAUGUAAAGCUCAGAACCGCAAACUUAUAGAGUUUCUGUUAAAAGCAGAAUGUCUCGAAGAUUUAGUCUCAUUCAUUAUAGAAGAACCACCUCAAGACAUGGAUGAAAAGAUCAGAUACAAGUACCCAAAUAUAUCUUGUGAGUUGCUCACUUCUGAUGUCUCCCAGAUGAACGAUAGGCUGGGAGAAGACGAGUCCUUGCUCAUGAGGUUAUAUAGCUUCCUCCUAAACGACUCCCCCUUGAACCCGCUACUUGCCAGUUUCUUCAGCAAGGUGCUCAGUAUUCUUAUCAGCAGAAAACCAGAACAGAUUGUGGAUUUCUUAAAGAAGAAACGUGAUUUUGUAGACCUUAUAAUAAAGCACAUAGGAACUUCGGCCAUCAUGGAUUUAUUGCUCAGGCUCCUGACGUGCAUCGAGCCUCCGCAGCCCAGGCAAGAUGUGCUGAAUUGGUUAAAUGAGGAGCAAAUUAUCCAGAGACUUGUGGAAAUAGUUCAUCCAUCGCAAGAAGAAGAUCGGCAUUCAAAUGCUUCACAGUCACUUUGUGAAAUUGUUCGCCUGAGCAGAGACCAGAUGUUACAAAUUCAGAACAGUACAGAACCAGAUCCCCUGCUUGCCACUCUAGAAAAGCAAGAAAUUAUAGAGCAGCUUCUAUCAAAUAUUUUCCACAAGGAGAAAAAUGAAUCCGCCAUAGUCAGUGCAAUCCAGAUACUGCUGACUUUACUUGAGACACGGCGGCCCACAUUUGAAGGCCAUAUAGAGAUCUGCCCGCCAGGCAUGAGUCAUUCGGCUUGUUCGGUCAACAAGAGUGUUUUAGAAGCUAUCCGAGGAAGACUUGGAUCUUUCCAUGAACUCCUGCUUGAGCCACCCAAGAAAAGUGUGAUGAAGACUACGUGGGGUGUGCUGGACCCUCCGGUGGGCAAUACCCGAUUGAAUGUCAUCAGGUUGAUAUCCAGCCUCCUUCAGACAAACACCAGCAGUAUCAAUGAGGACCUCAUGGAGCUGAAUAGCAUUGGGGUCAUAUUGGACAUGUUCUUCAAAUAUACGUGGAAUAACUUUUUACAUACACAAGUGGAAAUUUGUAUUGCACUGAUCCUUGCAAGUCCUUUUGAAAAUACAGAAAAUAACACAAUUACUGAUCAAGACUCCACUGGUGACAAUUUGUUACUGAAACACCUUUUUCAAAAAUGUCAGCUAAUAGAACGGAUACUGGAUGCCUGGGAAAUGAAUGAGAAGAAACAGGCCGAGGGAGGCAGACGGCACGGCUACAUGGGACACCUGACAAGGAUAGCUAACUGUAUUGUGCACAGCACUGAUAAGGGCCCCAACAGUGCAUUAGUACAGCAGCUUAUCAAAGACCUUCCAGAUGCAGUCAGGGAGCGGUGGGAGGCGUUCUGCACAAGCUCCUUGGGAGAAACUAACAAGAGGAACACGGUAGAUCUAGUUACAACCUGCCAUAUUCAUUCAUCCAGUGAUGAUGAAAUUGACUUUAAAGAAACGGGUUUCUCACAGGAUUCUUCUUUGCAGCAAGCCUUUUCUGAUUAUCAGAUGCAACAAAUGACGUCCAAUUUUAUUGACCAGUUUGGCUUCAACGAUGAGAAGUUUGCAGAUCAAGAUGACAUUGGCAAUGUUUCUUUUGAUCGGGUAUCAGACAUCAACUUUACUCUGAAUACAAAUGAAAGUGGAAAUAUUGCCUUGUUUGAAGCAUGUUGUAAGGAGAGAAUACAGCAGUUUGAUGAUGGUGGCUCUGAUGAGGAAGACAUCUGGGAGGAAAAGCACAUUGCCUUUACACCAGAAUCCCAAAGACGAUCCAGCUCGGGGAGUACAGACAGUGAAGAAAGUACAGACUCUGAAGAAGAAGACGGAGCGAAACAAGACUUGUUUGAACCCAGUAGUGCCAGCACAGAGGAUAAAAUGGAGGUAGACUUGAAUGAACCACCCAACUGGUCAGCCAACUUUGAUGUCCCCAUGGAGACAACCCAUGGUGCUCCCUUAGAUUCUGUGGGGUCUGAUGUCUGGAGCACAGAGGAGCCAAUGCCAACUAAGGAGACAGGCUGGGCCUCUUUCUCAGAGUUCACGUCUUCCCUGAGUACAAAAGAUUCUUUAAGGAGUAAUUCUCCGGUGGAAAUGGAAACCAGCACCGAGCCGAUGGGUCCUCUGACUCCCAGUGUUGCCACACUGGCCGCACAGCCGGAAGCACCAGCCAGUGUAGCCAUGGAAGCCAGCUCUGACGGAGAGGAGGAUGCAGAAAGUACAGACAAGGUAACUGAGACAGUGAUGAAUGGCGGCAUGAAGGAAACUCUCAGCCUCACUGUAGAUGCCAAGACAGAAACCGCAGUCUUCAAAAGUGAGGAAGGAAAACUGUCUACCUCUCAAGAUGCUGCUUGUAAGGAUGUCGAGGAGAGCCCUGAGACAACAGAGGCAAAGUCUGCGGGCCCCCGGCCCCCCAGCAGUAGCCCAGAGCAGAGUCACCUAUUGCUUAGACUGAGCCAGUGGUCUGAAGGGAUAGGCCAAGCCAAAGCCUCAGCCGCCGAGGGCCGCCGCCCCGGCCCGUACGCACGGCCUCGCAGGUAGAGCAAGGGCGGCCUCCGAUUGCUGCAGAGCACGCGCCAGAAGAUGAGGAUUUGCCCUUGGACCACAAGGAACUUUGCUCAGCACUUCCCAGAGUUAACUUUUUUGUUAUAUAUAUCUAAGUUUGUACAUUCCUUCCAUAAGGAAUAAAGUAACCUUUAAAGCCAUUUCAGAGAAGUUGUACUUUCCCCCUUACCAGACCCCCACCCCCAAAAUCUGUCACUUUAGAGGUGACAAAACCAGUGGGAACCAGCAGGGGGCGCUCUCUGUUCACCGGUUGGCAGACCUCUUUAGUGGGGCAAACCCUGCUUUUGUUUCUCUCAUGGGAAUUAUAGCCAGCAUGAGGGGUUUGCUUCUAUGAUUAAAAAAAAAAAAGCCUUCUUGGCGUAUAAAACAAUUAUAAGAACUAUUUGAGCAUGUUGGCUCUAGGGAAGGCUUUGGGAGGAGGAGGCAUGGUGACCCUCCAGCGUUGAGGGAUCCGGCCCCAGGUAUGCUUCGAAGUGUUCUGGGCAAGUCACCUUUUUUGCCUGGGGUUUUCAGUGGAUGUUUUUUCAAAGGUAUUUUGUAGGAUCUUAUUCCUAGUCCGUUAUGUCAUCUCCCUGAUUUCUACCUACAGAUUUCCUUUAUAUUGCGAACUGCUUGAAGGCAGGACAGUCCAGGUCUAUUCCAAUCUGGAGUUGCUUCGGGACUCUCUUUGUUUCUCAGACAUAAAUGAUACAGGAGGCUCUGGGAUCAUUUCCUUGGCUCUCUGGAGGGCAGAAUUCCUUGCUUUAGGGGAACCCACUUGCUCUUCUACCCGCCUAGAGACGUCUGGUGUGAAGAGCCCUGCCUCUCAAUCUGCCAGACUGAGGUGGUGGGGGGGGAACACUGGGGAGGGCCAGUGGACAAAGAGGAGGGCAUCCCUUGUGUCCACACAUUCAUCCAUCUGUCCUUCAUCCAACACAUGGAAGUGUGGCAGCCAGUGGUCUAGGCCGGGGUGGGGGAAGCAGUUGCAUAAAAGACCCCCAGAUGAUAGAGGGACGUGUAGAAAGAGGUGCUGCUGAAGAAUCGGGACAGCUGCACGGGAGAUCAGGAGUCCCAUUUAGAUGGGGCGGUGGAGGAAGGCCGCUCAGAAGGUGACAUUGAGCUGCUGUGAUGGCAGGGAGAAGGUAAGUGGUCCAGCGCGUCCCAUCUGUGUCCUAAGGGCGAAGUACGGGAGGUAGGGAGAGCCAUUGGGACUUGCCAGAUGCCCUCUUCCCCACAUGGUUCCUGUCACAACCAGGUUAUCAUGAGCCCUGGGGUUGACAGAUGCACACUACUGCCCUGAACUGCCUGCAUGGGCACGGAAUUUAACGUUUAGCUACUGUGGAUCGAGCACGUGCGAUACCUGUGCUGACCAGUGUGCCAGGCACUCGGCACCCGUCACGUACGCACCCACCAUCAGUGGGGAUUGUUGUCCCCCUUUCACGGGGGAGGAGCUGAUCUGGAGAGGGGAGAAAGUGUACUUGAGACCCAGCAGCUUGUGAGUGGUGAUAGUGGGAUCUGUGCCCGGUGUGUCUGCUGCCAGAACCCCGGUCCCCCUGCCUCUCAGACACUGAAUGUUACCAGAGUGCUUGCUCGUGGAGCCCGCUUCCUGGCUCUCUGUCAGAGUUGGCGGGUGUCUGAAGCCUUGGGCUCGUGAGUUGCGAGCUGAUCCAGAAGCACCCUGUGUGCUUCCCAGUGCCUCUCUAAGCACCCUUUCCCAAGCCGGCUUUGUAAAUUCUGGAAACGCCGCCAAGACUCUACUGUCCUGUGUUGAAGCAGGAAGGUCGAAUUUGUGUAUCUGCCACCAUACUGUUCAUCUAGCAUUCCCUCUUCUCUUCUCUUUCGAGAGGGAAGGGAGGGCACACGUGGGGGUGGAGGGAGAGGGAGAGAGAAUCUUUUUUUUUUUUUUUUUUAAAGAUUUUAUUUAUUUGACAGCGAGAGACACAGCGAGAGAGGAAACACAAGCAGGGGGAGUGGGAGAGGGAGAAGCAGGCUUCCCGCCGAGCAGGGAGCCCGAUGCGGGGCUCGAUCCCAGGACCUGGGAUCAUGACCUGAGCCGAAGGCAGACGCUUAACAACUGAGCCACCCAGGCGCCCCGGGAAAGAGAAUCUUAAGCUGGCUCCUGCCGGGGCUCGAUCUCACGACCCUGAGAGCAUAACGUGGCCAAAACCAAGAGUCAGAGGCUUAACCGACUGAGCCCCGCCAGCCGCCCCUAGCAUUCUCUCUUCUGUGCUCCCAGCUUCAGCCCUAACACUUGCCUGGCGGGAGCACAUUGGUUAAAGUGCACACCCGGUUUCAAGAGUUGGUCUUGUUUACAAGCCUUUUUUUUUUUUUUCCCUCUUUCAGUAGAAGAAUCCUGCUUUUCAAGUGAAAUUUUAUGUGGAUUCCAAUAUAUGGAACAAAUAAAAAGCUGUUUGAAGGAGGAAAUGAGCAUGUGGCUCGUGACGGGUCUGGGAGCAACAGUAAAAACCACUGCCCUAGUCUCCGCCUGUGCUUCUAAGAAGCUGAGGACUGACCAGCCAAGCCUGCCAGGUGACACAUCUGUCAACGGCCCCGUAUGAUGAGUGACCCCUGCUUGCUGCUGACUGAGGACCGCAGGCCGCCACCGCUCGGGGCCUCUGGAGACUUCACCUGGAGCCCGCCAGGCCGUCACUGCUGCACUCACUCUGCAAAGGAUCAGGACCAGCAACCUUUAUAUUCUAGAUUCUAAGACAUUGUACAGAGAAAUCCAGAAGUGUAAAAAUAUUGCACAUUGACAAAUACCAAGAAUUUUUGCGUAUGUUUAUAUUGUAUUGUUCUAAAUAAUGGGUAGCCUGUGAAAUAAGAUCGUGCCACCCAUGUAAUAAUAGUAGUAAUACUAUAGUUAAAAUGGCUGUAAGAAUAGUUUUAUAAAAGUGAAUACACAGAUCUAUUGUAUUUGAAACAUAACUAUUUGACAAUUAUUAGUGUGACCAAAGUAUUAGGCAGUUUUCAUACAUUUUUCACCUUGUACAAAAUUCUGAAUUCAUUUCUCUUCCAGGCUGGCAAGGAGUUGUAGGGUUGAAAUGCCCUCUAAGUGUUAAUUUUGGUUGUUCUAACUUACAAACGUGAUUUUGAAUAAGAAAUAUUUGGUGUUCUUUUUAUAACCAGGUUUUGAUUGGUAACUGUUUUCUGUAUUGUUUUAAACGGAUCAAAAAAUGUAAGUCUAUUGGUAGAGAUUAAGUAUUUAUUGCUACAACUUAGUUGAUAAAUUGAUGUUACUGUAAAGCCAUAUGUUCUGUUGAAGUCUCGUUUGCUUGAAAUGGUUCCUCCUACAGGUGAGACACUAGACUGUUUGGGGUGUACUUGUGGUUUGAGUUACUUUGUUUCUCGUUUUUGUUUUUUUGUUUUGUUUUGUUUUGGUAGUUCCUCUGCCUUUUAACCCAUUCACCCAAAUUUACCUUGUUAACAAGCAUCACCAGUGACCAUUUCUGAGCAGUUUGCAUAUUUAACAAACCUAAACCGUAUCAGGCAGGCCCGUGGAAGAGUGCUCGCGCUGCAGGUGGAUCAGAGCGCGUUCGUUUUGCAGGCUAGUGUUUCCAGCUAGAAAUCAGAACCUGGCACCUACGCAUGGGGAUUGUUCUCCUGUACCUUGUGAGGUUUCCACGCAUAAAUUCUAAGCCAGUGUGUUUUUUUUAGAACUGGUUUGUGUAUAUAUAUAUAGUGAUUAUGGAUACUAAUUCAAUGUAAUUUAUAAUUUUCUAUGUCAAUAUAAAAGUACAUCACAGCCUUCUCAAACAGCUGAAGCAAUAUAUCGUAUAUUGCCAUAUCGUCUGGGGAAAGGGUUAAAUUUCUUCACCUUGCACUUUUAGAUGCAGAUCAGGUUUUCAUUUCUGUAAUAGAAAACUGUUCACGUAUUUUUACAUCAUUUGUUUGUCCUGACCAGUAUUUAAAACCAAAAGGAUAUUCUGAAUAAUGGCCAACGAUUUUUUUAGAACUAGCAUCCCAAGCAGCGUGCCUAAACAUUACAUUGCAUAUGGAAAUAAAAGAAUCAAAUGUUUAA